AACAUGCUUCUUGCUUUCUAGAGUUUUCGAGUCUUUUAACCACACAUGGAGAACAUGAUACUCCGAUCACAGAGACAUGAGCUAAAACACCCAUAAAUAUUACAAUUCUAGAUUCCUUCUCCUGAGGAGUGAGGAGAUGCAACUUUGUGUGCUCUCAAUCCCAGGAAACACACAUUCAUCUAACAGACUAAAAAACUCAUCCACAUCAUACCACUAUUCCAAGGUUUUACGUGCCAACA